CUCUGCGGCGCGGAGGGUCAGUGGAAGGAAGGCUGCGGCGCUUUAGGCGCGCCAAUGUCGGGGAUUUGAGGUUGUUUCUAAGUCACAAUGCAAAUAUGUAACCAUACUCAACUCCAAAAGUGCCAGGUUUGGACCCCGACGAUGGAUGGCUUCUUGUUAAACUCACGCCAUGAGAAGCUGUGGAUCGAUUUCAAGAAAACCUAGCUGACGUUGAAGAAAUGAGAACAUGCUGGGAGCAUUUGAGAACAGUGUGACCUCUAAAGGGCAGGCGUGUCUGAACACUUCCAACCCCGCACACGGCUGGCAGAAUGGACACUCUCACCAGGACUUUCCCCUCCAAACAUAGACUGUUUUCUCUAGAAAAGAGGUAGUAUAUCUAUCAUUACAGAGGGCAAUUUGUAUGGUGGUAUUGUGUGUUCUUUUUUUUUUUUUUUUUUUUUUAGCAAAUACCAAAAUAAAAUUAUGUAAGAAAAUAUACUAGCUUGCAAAUCAAGGUUGCCUAGAAACGUUCUUCACUGACACACUGUGCCUCAGCAUUUUGGGAUAUGGUCAUUGAAAGUAGAAGAGUGUGCACUGUCUUUUACCACAGCUCCUUUGUCUUCAUUCCCUUUCCACGCCCCCAUUCUCUACUAUGAAAUUUAAGGCCCCCCACACAAAAGACAAGUUCAAGUAUGCAGGUAUGAAAAGACGUUAACAUUCUAAAAAUACAUUUUUUUUUGCAGACAGCAAUUAUAAUUGGAGCAAAUCACAGAGUAUUCAAAGUGGAACAAAUAAUUGUCUCAAUUCGUUUCAGACUUUAAAAUUCCUUCCCUUCAAGGAUGAAAUGAUGUAGUGAUUUGUAUAGUAACACAGUUGAGACUCUUUAGGAAAGACCAUGAGUCUAAUUGCUAACUAUUCCAAUCUUCUACCCAGUAGAGCCAUAUAAAGAUGGGAGAGAAUCACAGUUAUUUAUAAAUACUACUAUGUGUUGUUAAGUGUUAGCAUAAACAAGGUAACAGUGUUGAUUAUGAUAUUGUAGUCAUAUUAUAGUCUUGGAAAUAAGCCAAAAGACCAUAAGUAGCAUAUCUUCUUUUUCCAGGAACAUAUUUCCACAUUGUUUGCAUGAGUCUGCAUUAUUAUAUAUCAUAAAAACUCAUAGAAUUCUAACAUGGUCUAUUCUAUAAGUGAAAAUAGCCUCAAAUGAUAUAGAAAUAUUUCUCUUGCUUGUCAUCAUUUGCCAUUUUGAGUAAAAUGAAUUGAAGCAAAGUACUUGUGGAAUAGGCAUUUCCUAGAGGUUCUUGGUAUGCUUGGCAAAAAUAAAACAUUUUAUUUAGUAU
ensembl:processed_transcript A430018G15Rik RIKEN cDNA A430018G15 gene